UUGAAUAAUGCAGACAGUGGAUGCCUUGCUUCUUAUCUCCGAAAAAGGACGUACAUAGCCACGAAAGUCGCCGGGUAGCUGCUACGAAGCUUUGAUCCGACGGUGUCCGAAUGGGGAAACCCAUCGCGUUUUACGCGAUACUCUGUGGUAAAAACGUCGACGCAAGUCGAUGUAUAGCCGCUGAGGGGAAACCGCCCGAACUGAAACAUCUAAGUAGGGCGAGGAAUAUAAAUCAAAUCGAGAUUCCGCCAGUAGCGGCGAGCGAAAACGGAAUAGUCUAAAUGCGUGAGCAGCACGCGAGCCCAAUAUGGGAUUAGUAUUUAAUAGCAGAAUGGUCUGGAAUGGCCAAUCAUAGGGAGUGAAAAUCUCGUAUGCAAAAUUAAAUAUUACCCUAGGGAUUUCCCAAGUACCACGGAGCACAUACUCUGUGGGAAUCGGGGGGAACCAUCCUCCAAGACUAAAUAAGAUAAGAGAGCGAUAGUGAACUAGUACCGUGAGGGAAAGGUGAAAAGCUGGGUGAGACACCCAAUGAAAUAGAACCUGAAACUGUUUGCAGUCAAACCGUGAGAGCCCCAAUUUAUUGGGGUGAUCGCGUGCCUAUUGAAGAAUGAGCCGGCGAGUUUUCAAUUAUUUCCAGUCUAAGUCGUCUAAGACGAUGGAGGCGUAGGGAAACCGAGUGUUAAUAGCGCGUCAGAAAUAAUUGGAAGACCCGAAACCAGGUGAGCUAACCUCGAGCAGGGUGAACCAAGCAGAAAUGCUUGUGGGAGGCCCGAACCCGUUGUUGUUGCAAUAACAUGGGAUGACUUGUGGUUAGGGGCAAUAUACUUAUCGAACCUGGAGAUAGCUGGUUCUCCCCGAAAGGUCUAUGGGGACCGUGGCACGUAACGUUCUGUUGGUUGUAGAGCACUGGAUGGGUAAGAGAGCGUAAGCAAUUUUACUCAAUCAAACUCCGAAUGCCAGCGUGAAUUAUCGUGCUAGAAAGCCGCAUCGGGCUAAGCUGAUGCGACGAAAGGGAAACAACCCUUGACUCUCAGUUAAGGCCUCUAAAUUACAACUAAGUUUGAAAGGAAGUUGAAGAUUUAUCGAGGAUAAGUUGUAUGCCGAAGCUAGAGAUUUUACACCGUGAGGUGUGGAGUGGUAGGGGAGCGUUCCAAUUGCGGUGAAGCUCUGGCUGUAAGGCCGGGUGGAGCGGUUGGGAGUGAGAAUGUCGGCUUGAGUAGCGCACAACGCUAGUGAGAAUCUAGCGCGUCGAAUGUCCAAGGUUUCCACUGCAAGAUUCGUUCUCAGUGGGUUAUUCGGUACCUAAGGCGAGGCCGUUUUGGCGUAGUCGAAUGGAUGAUUGGUUAAAAUUCCAAUAUUUGUGUUAAAUCGUUAUCAACUAGGGAUUUACUAAGCAGGAAUUUCGGAGCUUUUUCGUGAAGUAAAGUGCAGAAGCCAAAACAGUUGUGAUUGGAAAAUCCGUCGCAGCGUUUAAUUAAGGUGGUGCAAAGUCUUCCGCGAGGGAGGCGAUUCCGAACGUUUCAGUUUACGAGAAAAGAUUCGUAGUGAGAGUUAACAUAAGCCGUACCGCAAACCGACACAGGUGGACUGGGGGAGUACCCUAAGACGAUCGAGAGACAAAUCCUCAAGGAACUCGGCAAAAAAACUACCCGUAACCUCGGGAGAUGGGUUGCCUUGCUUAAAAACAAGGUGGCAC
rnacentral:rRNA from 1 species